rnacentral:rRNA from 1 species
GACGAACGCUGGCGGCGUGCUUAAUACAUGCAAGUCGAACGGACCGAUUCCGUUAGUUUACUACUGGGAAAGGAUAGUGGCGGACGGGUGAGUUACGCUUGGGCAAUCUUCCCCUAAGUCCGGGAUAACAGAGCGAAAUUUCUGCUAAGACCGGAUACUCUUAACCAGCCGCUUGGUUGGUAAAGGAAAGGGAACGCUUAGGGAUGCGCCUGCGUCCCAUUAUCUAGUUGGUGCGGUAACGGCCCACCAAGGCAACGAUGGGUAGCCGGCCUGAGAGGGGGGACGGCCGCACUGGGACUGGGCCACGGCCCAGACGGCUGCGGGAGGCAGCAGUAGGGGAUUUACGGCAAGGGGCGGGAGCCUGACCGGGCAAGGGCGGGUGAGGGACGAAGGGGUUCGGAUCGGAAACCUGUGGCAGCGAGGACGGUAAUGACGGUACUCGAGGAGGAAGCCCCGGCUAACUACGUG